AUUAGCGCUGAUGGCUGUGAUUCACCAUGUGCCAGACACCCUGGGGAAAAGAGACGGAGGGACAAGAAAGCACCGCUAGUCAGAGUAGGAAGAAAACCUUCCUUUCCUUUCGAUUUAGAAUCUUUGUUCCCAUCAAUUCUUUGCAAUUUUAACUCAAUUCAGAAGUGGUAAAACACAGUAUUGCCCCAAAACUCAGAGUAUAUAAUCUGUUGCGGGGUGUCACUGGCAACCAGAAGAGUUCCAGCAACUGAUGGUGUCAGAGUGUGGCAAUGGUCAGGUGGCAAUGAAGAGCUGUCUAAAGCACCAGCAAUAUCUGAAGCUUCAGUGUGGCCUGAUAAAACUACAGAUUGCUGAGUUGAAUUCAUUAUCAGUAUAUGGUUCACAUAUAAUAGAGGCAGAGAAACAUAAAGUGCUCAGCGUGAAGAGCAGACUGAGUAGCGAUGACAGCAUGCCCCCUCAAUCACUCCAGGCUUCAGCAUGCUCACAGAUAUGAAACAAUGAGCAGAAGUUGGAGAACGGAAUAAAAAACGUUGAUUAAAUUUUGAUUCAGUCCUCUCUAUGCGUGCAAUUCCAAAUUUGUGCCACACUCAAACAGCCAUAAUGUUAGAGAUUACUGACCAGUUGGAGCCUUCGGGAUUGGGUUCGUGGUACUCAUAUCAUCAAAGACCUGUGUGAAGAGGGCACACAAUGCAAAAAUAUCUUAAUGAUCCAGAGACAGUCACAAAAGUCAGACUUGCCCAAGGGCGUCUGAAACAUCACUGCACAGGAAACUGAUGUGGCUGCAUAGAGGAUUUGGAUGGAAAGUAGAUGGAUGUCCCGUCUCCUGUCUCCAGCUUUUUCAGUGUUCUUGUUGUCUGGUUUUUCUUUGCAUCUCAGAAACCUAGGCAGGGUUUUGCUCUUGCUCAGACAACAAAUCCACUGAACAGCCCCACCACGGGGAUUUUUCUGGCUGUACUAUUUCAUGAACCCAGUGCACAUCCCUGGAGCUGCUUGAGGAAUGCUGUAGAGGGUGGCACUUUGUUGGAUAGUGCAGGUAAUGAAAAGAAGGGCAUGGCUUGGGGAACCAGUUAGGCAUCUUGCUGUCACCUCCACUGAAAAUAAAUAUAUUUUUCAAUAUCUGUGCCCUCUUUCUCAUUCUUUUAUUUUUCAAAUGCAGUAAUUCUCCAGAAAUUGGAAGCAGAAACUGUGCUGAGGUUUCUGAUGUGCGUAGCUUGGCUCUGUCCAUCUCGUGCUACUUUGAAAUGAGCAGCCACUUUCAGUUAUGGAUAACAUCCUAGUGGUCUGCUGUGUUAUUCAGAUCAACACAAAGUUUUAAAGUUUUAAAUUCAGCUUUGGAUCAGGUUCAAAGCAUGUAUUUUCCCUUACAGAUCUGUAUGGCCUUACAUGCUGGAAC
ensembl:lncRNA